GCAGUGCAGUGUAGCAUGGUUGUCUUUAGGUUGGGUUUUUGGUGAUCUUCAGGAUGGUUUCUCAGAGAGUCAUUGUGGGUUUUCUUCUGAUUGUGCUGAUCUCUAAUGUGUUGGGGUCUCUGGCUGAGCGUGAACAGGCACGUGCAGAGGGGCUUAUCCUAUCACGGCUGAUCAGAAACUACAGAGAGACCAAUGGUGGAGCAGAACAGCUGUUCCGGGUGGUUAGAGAUGAACGUUCAGUUGAUGAUGAUUAUGAUUCAGGCUCUGGAAACUGACGUGGUGCUGACGUGAGAUGAACGCCUUGAGGGAAAGCUGUCCACAUGAGGUUGCCAACAUCCCAUGAUCCUGCAGCAUCUGAGCAUGUGUGGUGGUCAGCCUGCAUGACCUCACAGGGUCCAGCUUCAUGCCUCAUGGAUUCUUUGUCUUGGAAUAAAUGUUUUCCUCAACUGC